GCAGCGACGCCGCGUGAGGGAUGACGGCCUUCGGGUUGUAAACCUCUUUCAACAGGGGAGAAGCGAAAGUGACGGUACCUGCAGAAGAAGCGCCGGCUAACUACGUGCCAGCAGCCGCGGUAAUACGUAGGGCGCGAGCGUUGUCCGGAAUUAUUGGGCGUAAAGAGCUUGUAGGCGGUUUGUCGCGUCUGCUGUGAAAGCCCGGGGCUUAACCCCGGGUUUGCAGUGGGUACGGGCAGACUAGAGUGCAGUAGGGGAGACUGGAAUUCCUGGUGUAGCGGUGAAAUGCGCAGAUAUCAGGAGGAACACCAAUGGCGAAGGCAGGUCUCUGGGCUGUAACUGACGCUGAGAAGCGAAAGCAUGGGGAGCGAACAGGAUUAGAUACCCUGGUAGUCCAUGCCGUAAACGUUGGGCACUAGGUGUGGGGAACAUUCCACGUUUUCCGCGCCGUAGCUAACGCAUUAAGUGCCCCGCCUGGGGAGUACGGCCGCAAGGCUAAAACUCAAAUGAAUUGACGGGG
rnacentral:rRNA from 1 species